GCGAAACGCUUCUCGGUCACCCCAGACCGGUGGUAGCUGGUUCCCUGCAGGACGGUGAGGUGCCGGAGGUCCCUCCUCCCCCUCUGGACAUCGAGGGGUCGCCGGCGUACACGAUACGGGUCAUUCUGGAAAUCGUGACGCCGGGUGAGGGGCCUGCAGUACCUCGUGGACUGGGAGGGGUACGGUCUGGAGGAGAGGUGCUGGGUACCAGUGGGGGACAUUUUGGAUCCGUCGAUGUUGAGGGAUUUCCAUCACCUCCAUUCGGAUCGCCCUGCGCCUCGCCCUCCGGGUCGACCUCGAGGCCGGUGUCAGCACGCUGCUGGAGCCGCGCGUCAGGGGGGGGGGUACUGUCACGAGCACUGAGCACUGAGAUCUCCCCUGUGUGAAUGUGAGCACAACUUAAAGCCUUAGUUGUCACGACUCCUACCGAAGGUGGCUCCCCUACCCGUUCGGGUGGCGCUCGGCGGUCGUCGUCGCCGGCCUACUAGCUGCCACUGAUUCUUU
ensembl:lncRNA